AUUGAACGCUGGCGGCAUGCCUUACACAUGCAAGUCGAACGGCAGCACGGGGCAACCUGGUGGCGAGUGGCGAACGGGUGAGUAAUGCAUCGGAACGUACCUUUCAGUGGGGGAUAACGUAGCGAAAGUUACGCCAAUACCGCAUAUUCUGUGAGCAGGAAAGCAGGGGAUCGCAAGACCUUGCGCUGAUUGAGCGGCCGAUAUCAGAUUAGCUAGUUGGUGAGGUAAAGGCGCACAAAGGCGACGAUCUGUAGCGGGUCUGAGGGGAUGAUCCGCCACACUGGAACUGAGACACGGUCCAGACUCCUACGGGAGGCAGCAGUGGGGAAUUUUGGACAAUGGGGGCAACCCUGAUCCAGCCAUGCCGCGUGAGUGAAGAAGGCCUUCGGGUUGUAAAGCUCUUUCGGCCGGGAAGAAAUCGCACGGGCUAAUACCCUGUGUGGAUGACGGUACCGGAAUAAGAAGCACCGGCUAACUACGUGCCAGCCGCCGCAGUAAGAC
rnacentral:rRNA from 1 species